rnacentral:rRNA from 1 species
AUUGAACGCUGGCGGCAGGCCUAACACAUGCAAGUCGAGCGGUAGCACAGAGAGCUUGCUCUCGGGUGACGAGCGGCGGACGGGUGAGUAAUGUCUGGGAAGCUGCCUGAUGGAGGGGGAUAACUACUGGAAACGGUAGCUAAUACCGCAUAACGUCGCAAGACCAAAGUGGGUGACCUUCGGGCCUCAUGCCAUCAGAUGGGCCCAGAUGGGAUUAGCUAGUAGGUGGGGUAACGGCUCACCUAGGCGACGAUCCCUAGCUGGUCUGAGAGGAUGACCAGCCACACUGGAACUGAGACACGGUCCAGACUCCUACGGGAGGCAGCAGUGGGGAAUAUUGCACAAUGGGCGCAAGCCUGAUGCAGCCAUGCCGCGUGUGUGAAGAAGGCCUUCGGGUUGUAAAGCACUUUCAGCGGGGAGGAAGGCGGUGAGGUUAAUAACCUCAUCGAUUGACGUUACCCGCAGAAGAAGCACCGGCUAACUCCGUGCCAGCAGCCGCCGUAA